rnacentral:misc_RNA from 1 species
GAUGAAGAACGUAGCGAAAUGCGAUAAGUAGUGUGAAUUGCAGAAUUCCGUGAAUCAUCGAAUCUUUGAACGCACAUUGCGCCUUCUGGUAUUCCGGAAGGCAUGCCUGUUCGAGAGUCAUUAACAACCGUUUCGAUCCCUUUCUUUCAGAAAUUACAAAGAGGAAAAGGGUUUGGUUAUGGUGGAGGAGGGAAAGGGAGCGUUUAGCCUGUAAAAAAAGAGGCUGUGUUCCGCCUCCCCCCCAAAAUUGUACAGGCGGUCGUGUGCGCCCACGCAUCGAGGUGUUGUAAAAGCUGCCACGGCACUUUUCACCUGUGCAGUGCGAGAUCGGCCAGCCGGUUUAAAAACCCCUCCAAACAAUCAAAGGUUGACCUCGGAUCAGGUAGGGAUACCCGCUGAACUUAAGCAUAUCAAUAAGCGGAGGA